CACGUAGGGGGCGAGCGUUGUCCGGAUUUAUUGGGCGUAAAGAGCUCGUAGGCGGCUCAGUAAGUCGGGUGUGAAAACUCCAGGCUCAACCUGGAGACGCCACCUGAUACUGCUGUGGCUAGAGUCCGGUAGGGGAGCAUGGAAUUCCUGGUGUAGCGGUGAAAUGCGCAGAUAUCAGGAGGAACACCGGUGGCGAAGGCGGAUCUCUGGGCCGAUACUGACGUGAGGAGCGAAAGCGUGGGGAGCAAACAGG
rnacentral:rRNA from 1 species